AGGAGCCGUAUGAGGUGAAAAUUUCAUGUACGGUUCUGUAGAGUGGCGGUCUUACUUGUAUUGCAAUAAUGAAAAAAUGUACGAACACAAAUAAUGAGCAGACCAACCCACUUUUAU
rnacentral:ncRNA from 1 species